rnacentral:lncRNA from 1 species
GACAGAAGGGAGCUCACACAGCACAUUCCCGAAGCUGCAGCACUGCUCUGCAGGCUGAGGGGGUCCUUGGUCUGGACAGAGGGUGGAGGCAGACCCCACCCACCAAGCAUAAAGCCUCAGGCUUGGAGAUCACAGGAAGUGCCUGUGUGGACUUGUGUAUGAGUGUGUGCACGUGUAUGUGUGUUUGCAUGCAUGUAUGUGUCUGUGUGUGUCUGCAUCUGCUUGUGUGUCUAUGUGCAUAUGUGUGCUUGUGUGCGUUUGUGUGCACCUGGAAUCUCAGCACUUUGGGAGGCCAAGGCAGGAGGAUCACAUAAGCUCAGGAGUUUGAGACCAGCCUAGGCAACAUUGUGAGACCACAAUCUCUACAAAAAAAAAAAAAAAAAAGGUCUCCCCCUACUCCUCACCCACAGUAAGGGGCCAGGGCUCCAUGCAAUGAGAACCCACGGGUGAUGCCACACGGGGGAGAAGCCACGCGGGGGAGAGGCCAUGCAGGGGAGAGGUUACAAGGGGGAGAGGCUGCGGGGUGAGAGGUCACAUGGGGCAGAGGCCACGCGGGGGAGAGGCCACGCAGGGGAGAGGUCACAUGGGGGAGGCCACGCAGGGGAGAGGUCACAUGGGGGAGAGGCCACACAAGGGAGAGGCCAUGCAGGGGAGAGGUCACAAUGGGGAGAGGCCGCAGGGGGGAGAGGUCACAUGGGGCAGAGGCCACGCGGGGGAGAGGCCACGCAGGGGAGAGGUCACAUGGGGGAGGACACGCAGGGGAGAGGUCACAAGGGGGAGAGGCCGCAGGGGGAGAGGUCACAUGGGGGAGAGGCUACACAGGGGAGAGGCCGCACGCUGGGGAGAUGGUCCCUGCGGGAAGACUCCGAGGCAGUCUCCUGCAGCUCCUUCCGGCGAAUCCGGUUCAGGAAGUAAAACCAGCCCUGUGUAGAGGUAAGUGAUGCUUGUGGGGAUAAUCUCCGAGCAGCUCACCGCGGCGCUGGCCAUUGCCGUUCUCUUCACGGUAGAAGAGUCCAUUUGGGGAAAAGGUCCCCAUCAGAGAUGGAGAUGUUCCCUUUCAGACUCCAGGCUAUGGCUGUGGGGCCGGCUCCCUACCACGUGGGCUGGGGGCUGGGCACAUGCAUGCCCACUCCUGGGCCCUCUUCCUGGUAGGCCACAGCACCACACACACUGCAAACCAGGCCUCUUCUUCAUCCACCACCACCGUCCAGGCCUCAACAUCACCGCGUGGGGUCUUGUGCCCUCUGGGGGAACUUCCGGGCUAAUGAGGGGGGACAGUCCCCAUUACCGGUCUAUCUUUAUAAGGCAGUAUAUGCAACAGUGGAAGUUCUGUGAGACAUGUUCCAACCCCGGGGCUGCUGGCAGAACUGUCCCCAAACCCACCCUCGAUCCCACGGCCAGGAAGUGGGUCCAAAAUUGCCUGGCCAGGUCACACCCCUGCGUGAACCGCCCCACAACACCCAGGGCGCUGCCUGACUUGCCGUCCACCUCUCAGCCCCUCCCCUCACCCCUGCCGCAGCUGCAGGGCCUACCCUCGCCGGGGGCUGCUCCCUGCUUACCUCCCUCGCCCGUGCAAUGCCUCUACUUCCCGCAAGGCCUACCGGGAGAUGUUACAGGUCACGGUCAUAUUUGAGCAUGAGAAGCUCACGCAGAGAACAUUCUGGCUGAGGGAGAGGUCUUGGGGUUCAAGGCUGUUUCUUGGCUCUGCUCAGCCAUGCCAGGCAGGAAAAUGGGCACCUCUAGUGACCCAGGCUGGCUGAGAGCCUGCAGGGAAGAGCCUUUGGAACGUGAGCCACUGUGGGCUGGCAGGACUGCAACUGGCGUCUCCAUCUACUGGUACCGAGGCGAGGAGGAAAAAGCAGGGGGGCCCGGAGACGGCCCCUCUAAGUCUGUAACUCCAGAGCUGCUGCUCAGUCCCCAGAACGUCACCUCCGAGCAGAGCCUGUGACAACUGUCAACUGUGAAGCUGUGGCGUGGGUUGCUACUGAAGCUCUGAAGUCAGCGAGGACACAGCAUGUUUGUUCUAGACCGUUUGGCUGCGGGAGGAAGCUGUACAUGCACACACUCGCCUCACCACCCUGCGAGUCCACAGGCCCCUCCCCGGAGUCACCUCCAGGUAAAGGGGGCCCUGCGUCGGGACUUGCUCUCUGGGGCGCUGAGAUGCUCUACAAUGAGCUGUGCUGCAGUGCACGGCCGCCCGACUGUGCACCCGCAACGGGGAACUGAACGCUGCAUGAAGUACAUCUCCAAGUUGUUCUUUAAGAAGGCUUAGGGUCCCUGGAAGACCCUCGCCCACACCCAGCGUGGAGCGUUGUUGCUCACGUGGCCACACCUCUCGGGAUGGCCGUGGGUCUCCGUGAUGGGCAGGCGAGUGGAACCACAGGUGCUUCCCGUCCUGGUCACAAAGUCAGAGUGGCUGGGCCAAGUGUCCUGAGAAGAGUCACCUCCUGGGAUCCCAUCAGCCUGGCCAUAGCAGAACACCCAGACAGGGGCCCAUCCCCGAGGCUCAACUCAACGCAUGCAGCCACUGUAGAAAAGUCUGGAAAGUAGUUCUUCAACCGACUAGACAUGGUGAGCCCAAAACCCAGCCAUGACACUCCUAGGCAUCUGCCCCAGAGGAAUGAAAGCAUCCAUCCCCUGCAAACUCAUCCUUACACAGCAGCGUGACUCAAGACGGCCAAAGGCGGAAACACCCCAAACGUCCAUCAGUGGACAAACGGGCAGAUGCAAUGCACUGUCUGUACCGUGGGAUGUCACUCAGCCAUAUGAAGGAAAGACUCCAGUGUGGAUGAGCCCUGGAACCACGGUGCUGCGUGAUCCCGUAACACAUGGCCAGAACAGACACGGCCCGGAACCUGAGGCCGGGAGGAUGCGUGCAGGUGGCGGGGAGACAGAGGGGCGAUGGCCCAGUUUCUUUUGGGCUGAAAAUGGUCUAAAGUUGACUGUGGUGAUGGCUGUACAACUUUGAAUAUGCUGAAAACUCGAAUUACACACUUCAGUUGGGCGAACUGUACUCCAUGUGAAUUACCUCUCGAUGGUUCUCUCCUGGGCUCAGGCGCUUCUCCCACCUUGGCCUCCUGAGUAGCUGGAACUACCAUUCAUGUGCGGAAAUAAAACAACUCGGUCUCAAAA